AGCUCCUGUUGGGAAUUACAAUCCCUGCCAUCGUAGUUCUGGCUGUGGUACUUUAUCUUCUGGGAAAGAAAGUCAUGUCUCUACCAAGGGAUCAAAGAGAACGAGCCCAGCAUGACACCAGCAACUCUGCUGAAGAUCAUAUUCAAUACGCCUCCGUGAAUUGGUUGAGAAGCUCCUGGCAUCCACCACCCCAGAGAGAAGAGACAUUGACAUACGCGAUCAUCGCUCUGCAGCGGGAGACAUGUCAUUAAUGCUCCGCUGGCUGAAAUGCAGGACUCAUCGUUGUGCAGCGGCAUCACAGAACCUCCCAAAAUCACAGGCAACUGUAACCCAGGCUUUGCAGCAAGGAAGUGGGGAACCUUCUCUGGGGCCACAGCAGUACAAUGCACAGCACCCCAAAGUGCUGUAAGACACUGGAAUAUUCUUAGGGCAAAUGCUGCCUGUUUGCCUUUUGGAAAAAAGUCACUGGCUGCUGCCGGCACCAGGUCCCCCACUAACCUCCCAGGCUGCCCUGGACCCCACAUCCCCCUGAAGUAUGGGCCCCCCCAAAGCCCAAACAUUGGUGGAGCCAGGCCCACAUUCCUAACUAUUGAUGACACACAGGUACCAUGGGCCCAUAUAACUCACCGUCUAUGAAGGGAAAAAAACUAUAUUUUACAGUGCUUUUCAGAAAUCUAUUGUGACAUUCUGUUAAUUGGGGGAGCACCCAGU